UACGAAGGGGGCUAGCGUUGCUCGGAAUCACUGGGCGUAAAGCGCACGUAGGCGGAUCUUUAAGUCAGGGGUGAAAUCCUGGAGCUCAACUCCAGAACUGCCUUUGAUACUGGGGAUCUCGAGUCCGGAAGAGGUGAGUGGAACUCCGAGUGUAGAGGUGAAAUUCGUAGAUAUUGGGAAGAACACCAGUGGCGAAGGCGGCUAACUGGUCCGGUACUGACGCUGAGGUGCGAAAGCGUGGGGAGCAAACAGG
rnacentral:rRNA from 1 species